UACGAAGGGGGCUAGCGUUGCUCGGAAUCACUGGGCGUAAAGGGCGCGUAGGCGGCCUAUCAAGUCGGGGGUGAAAGCCUGUGGCUCAACCACAGAAUUGCCUUCGAUACUGUUAGGCUUGAGUAUGGUAGAGGUCAGUGGAACUGCGAGUGUAGAGGUGAAAUUCGUAGAUAUUCGCAAGAACACCAGUGGCGAAGGCGGCUGACUGGACCAUUACUGACGCUGAGGCGCGAAAGCGUGGGGAGCAAACGGG
rnacentral:rRNA from 1 species